AACGAACGCUGGCGGCAGGCUUAACACAUGCAAGUCGAACGAGAUCUUCGGAUCUAGUGGCAGACGGGUGAGGAACACGUGGGAACAUCCCUUUCAGUUCGGAAUAACGUUGGGAAACUAACGCUAAUACCGGAUACGUCUUUCGGGAGAAAGAUUUAUCGCUGAAAGAUUGGCCCGCGUCUGAUUAGCUAGUUGGUGAGGUAAUGGCUCACCAAGGCUACGAUCAGUAGCUGAUCUGAGAGGAUGAUCAGCCACAUUGGGACUGAGACACGGCCCAAACUCCUACGGGAGGCAGCAGUGGGGAAUAUUGGACAAUGGGCGCAAGCCUGAUCCAGCCAUGCCGCGUGAGUGAUGAAGGCCUUCGGGUUGUAAAGCUCUUUUAUCCGGGAAGAUGAUGACUGUACCGGAAGAAUAAGCCCCGGCAAACUUCGUGCCAGCAGCCGCGGUAA
rnacentral:rRNA from 1 species